rnacentral:rRNA from 1 species
ACGGGUGAGUAACGCGUGGGUGACCUGCCUUCGAGCGGGGGAUAACGUUCCGAAAGGGACGCUAAUACCGCAUAACAUCCUGCCUUUGAAGAGGUGGCGAUCAAAACCUGGGACCGCAAGGCCAGGCACUCGAAGAGGGGCCCGCGUCCGAUUAGCUAGUUGGUGAGGUAAUGGCUCACCAAGGCUCCGAUCGGUAUCCGGCCUGAGAGGGCGGACGGACACACUGGGACUGAGACACGGCCCAGACUCCUACGGGAGGCAGCAGUGGGGAAUUGUUCGCAAUGGGCGCAAGCCUGACGACGCAACGCCGCGUGGAGGAUGAAGAUCUUCGGGUCGUAAACUCCUUUCGAUCGAGACGAAUGGCCUCCGGGUGAACAAUCCGGAGGAGUGACGGUACCGAGAGAAGAAGCCCCGGCUAACUCCGUGCCAGCAGCCGCGGUAAUACGGGGGGGGCAAGCGUUGUUCGGAAUUACUGGGCGUAAAGGGCUCGUAGGUGGCCAACUAAGUCAGACGUGAAAUCCCUCGGCUUAACCGGGGAACUGCGUCUGAUACUGGUUGGCUUGAGUUUGGGAGAGGGACGCGGA